AAGAAAAAUUAAAUUUGCAUCUGUUAUAUGGCUGCGUACAACUUGGAGCAGACUCGCAUUGUUUACUAUUUCCACUACUCCAUACCCCAGCCCCAGACCCCAGCCCCCGGCUCGUGAUGAUUUGGCUAUACCCACUGAUCUCAUUAAAGUGGAUAUGGCAUAGGACGAAAUAAGUGUGACCAAUUGAAGGUUGUAGUCUCUGUACACAAUAUGGCGGUGUAUACGAAUACGAACACAGUUUACUGUGACGAUGAUACGAAAUUCCACGUGUAAUUAAUUAUUUAUAGACGUAAAUGUGUAGCAGUUUUAUCCAAAAUAUUACUUUUUUAUAAUAAAAAUAGUAAAAUAGUAAAAUAGUAAGAUUCCAAAAUUAAAAAAUGUGUUUAUUGUGGAAAAGGAAGUGAAAAUAAACAACAAACGUUCAUAGCUGCAAGUAUGGAUUACUACAACACAAUUAAGGACACGAGGACAAAAUAAGCUAUAACAAUACCCUUUAAACUUAUUUAUAAGUUUAGUAGUAGUAGUAUUAUUUAUUAGUAAAAUUAUUUAACAAGAUGGUCAUAAAUAAAAAUUUACGAUUUUUAGAC